GACGUAGGAUGCAAGCGUUGUCCGGAUUUAUUGGGCGUAAAGAGCUCGUAGGCGGCUUGUUGCGUCGGAUGUGAAAGCCCGGGGCUUAACUCCGGGUCUGCAUUCGAUACGGGCAGGCUAGAGUUCGGUAGGGGAGAUCGGAAUUCCUGGUGUAGCGGUGAAAUGCGCAGAUAUCAGGAGGAACACCGGUGGCGAAGGCGGAUCUCUGGGCCGAUACUGACGCUGAGGAGCGAAAGCGUGGGGAGCGAACAGG
rnacentral:rRNA from 1 species